UACGGAGGGGGCAAGCGUUAUUCGGAAUCAUUGGGCGUAAAGGGCGCGUAGGCGGCUUGGCAAGUCAAAGGUGAAAUCCCUCGGCCCAACCGAGGAACUGCCUUUGAUACUGCUUGGCUCGAGGCCGGGAGAGGGUAGCGGAAUUCCCAGUGUAGCGGUGAAAUGCGUAGAUAUUGGGAGGAACACCAGUGGCGAAGGCGGCUACCUGGACCGGUUCUGACGCUGAUGCGCGAAAGCGUGGGGAGCGAACAGG
rnacentral:rRNA from 1 species